CGAGGUGUAGCGCAGUUUGGUAGCGCACAUGGUUUGGGACCAUGGGGCCGGGGG
rnacentral:tRNA from 2 species